rnacentral:lncRNA from 1 species
CGCCUUCCUCCCGCCUCCUUCUCCUCCCCACUCCCUCUCCUUCUCUCCUCCUUCUCCCUCCCCCCUUCCCCUCCUUCUCCUCCCUCUCCCUCCUCUUCUUUCCCCCUUCUUCCCCCUCCCGCUCCUCUCCCUCCCUCUCCUUCUCCCCCUCCUCCUCCCUCCCUCUUCUCCCUUCCUCCCCCGACUCCUUCUCUCCUCCCUUCUUUCUCCCCUCCCCAUCACCGCUCUUUUUGGUGUGUUGCUCACUUUCUCCUCAGUUUGUCCAAACACUUUCAGUUUUCACUUUCAGGAAGUGUUGAGGUCCACACCCAACUCAGGCUCUCCAUCCCUGAGGGGAAGCACGUGGCUGUCCCCUUUCGGUGGAUUUCAAGCAUCCCUGGCGCAGGUGCAGCGGCCUUGCCCUGGGCUCACCAGCAGCCUUUGGGGUCCCAGUUGGCAGGCAGCCCUGUUCCCUGGGGGUCCCUGCCGGAGCUGCUGGUCCCUGGAGCUACCCCGUGGUACGGUUCAUCUGGACCAGCCUCUGAUGUGGGGAAGACCAAGCGAGAGCACACUGCGGAGAGCCCAAAAGUCAGAUGUCCUGGCUUAAGCUGCUGAAGCCACCUUGGACCAUGAGUGAUCUUGAGAAUGGAAGCCACUGUCUAGAUGUUGGAACAAAGACAAUGGCCUGGGCCUCCCUGAUGACACCGCAGAGUCACCAAUUCUAAUGAACAUACUACCAACAGUGAUUUUCUCCUUGGCCCAUUAACCACACGGAAGGGAGUAUUCGCUGUGGAGUGCCUCUGUAGCUGAGGGCCCCUGGCGCGUGGUUUCAUCAGAGGCAGACAGCUGCGUGAGUCACUGUGGUGGGCAGUGUGCUGGGCCACCCUGCGGGUCCUGCCAGAGUGCUGUGGAAUUCAAGUUUGUCUUCUCCAGUUUUAGUCUCUGCACGUGCGUUGGUCUCCUUUCUGCCCCUACAGUGUGGCCAAGGCCAUUCCAGCCUCAGGAGGGCAAGAGGAGGCCUGUUGGAUGCAUCCUGAAAACACAGGCCAUCACUGUGGGUGAGAUCUACCAGGACAGAUGCCAUUCUGCAAAGUGGGUACUUUCCAUGAGAAUCCAUCCAUGUUUUUCUCUUAUUCCUUCUCUUGGCAGAUUUUCACUCUUUUCACAACCUUGUUUCAUAGACAUCAAACAAUAACACAGCACAGAAGGAAAACAAGGGUCUUCUUAUACAAAUACCAUGUAUUUAAUUCUGGCACUCAUGAUUUAUUUAUAUCAGAAAGUCAUCUUAAAUUUUUAGGAGCUCACAACAUUCAAAACCUCACACAAAUUUCUAAACUAGUAGAGAUGUCUCUGCAUCUCCCACUACUUUCUUCUGCAUGUCAAGUUUCACUUUAGGUUAGAAUAGUCAUAUAUACCCGUUGAUGGGUGCAGCAAACCACCAUGGCACAUGUAUAGCUACGUAACAAACCUGCACAUUCCGCACAUGUAUCCCAGAACUUAAAGUAAAAUAAAAAUAAAAAAAUCACAACAUUGGAAAGCCAAAAAAAAUAGCCAUAUAUAAACUUUUUCAUCUUAAAAUCCAUUUUACUCCUAACUGUCAAGGAAAAACAGAUGGUUCUAAACUCCUCCUUCUAGGCUCCUAGUGGUAAAGCAAUUUGCAGGACAACCAUGGAAGAAAGGUGCCCGCCUUCUCUAAGCUGACAUGGCCCCGCUCCCUCCCUCAGUCUGUAGCCUCAGGAGGGGACUGCUUUGCCUGUGAGUGGGAGGGAGCUACCGUGUGAGUAGUUCCCAACAGACCAUCUGAAGUCAUUUUCCCAGGUGGCAGGAGAAACACAGAGCCAGACGUUACACUGCUUUUCAAAGAGUAUCAAGUUCUGUUUGGCUUUUGUGGAAAGCCAUUUCCGAAGACCUGCCUUACUUGACUGUUUCUCCCUCUCUGGCUCUCCUGUUACCAACGUCCUAGAGUUGCCUCUGCUGCCCCAGCGAGGAUGGCGACACAAACAGCGGUGGUGUCAGCGGACAGCGGUGGUGUCAGCGGUGACCGAGGCAGGGCCGAGACUCCAGGGCCCUUCGGGUUCAAGCUGUGCCCCCUCGCGCAGUUCAGCACCUGCCAGCACUUCCAAGUGUGUGAUUGUCACGCUUGCCUGAUUACUCCUUCCUUUGGGCUCCCAUAGCAAUUUGUACAUUACUGUGGAAUUGAUCAAAUUGCUUUAUAACUAGCUGUUUAUGUGUCUUUAAUCUGUGUCAUUUUGGAUGGCAGGAAAUGCUCUUUCGGUAAUUUUUUUGUCCACACUGACUGGAAUACUGGUUGGCACAUAGUAGGUAUUCAACAGUUUUUUAUCGAGGGAAUGAAAGCUCUCUAAACCACAGCAAUCAUUUGUAGACAAAGACUCUUAGGGUGUAAUGUGAUUUAACAUCUGAUUUUUGGAAAAUAGUUACUGAGAUCAUUCCGACAAUAAUAGAGUGCAAUACCCUACCUUGAAUAAAGGAUAUUUUACUCCUUUAGUGUGACAUAUAGGUGUU